GUCCUGUCACCAUCAACACUAGCUCCUAGCACAGAGUUAAGAGUUCAUUGCUGGGCAGUGCAAGCCAAGCAGUAAGCGGGAGACCCAGCUUAACAAGAAGGAAUGUUGCGUAGACCAGGAAUGCUGGACCAUGUGGAGGCUGAAGGAACAGUUAGAAAAGAGGGCCCACCGGUUGGAAAUAAAGUCGGAAUAAUCCUGAGCAUCCAGGGGAACAACAGGAGCCAGCCCCGUGGCGUAGUGGUUCAGUUCAGCAUGCUCUGCUUCAGCGGCUUGGGUUCCCAGGUUUGGAUCCCAGGUACGGACCUCCACCACUCCUCAGCCAUGCUGAUGCAGUUACCCACAUCCAAAACAGAAGAAGACUGGCACAGAUGUUAGCUCAGGGCUAAUCUUCCUCAGCAAAAGAAGGGGAAACAACAAAACAAGAACAACAACAACAAAAGCAGGAUCUGAAACAAAAUCUAUGAAAUCAGAGUUGGAGAUAAAAUAGGAUCUAAUUCUGAAUUCUGAAUUCCUGAUAUGUGUAUCUGUUCCUAUACUAACGCCACAUUGAAUGAUGGAUACAUAGUGUGUUCCAAUAGCUGGUUUGUUUUGUUCUGUUUUUUCGUCUUCUUUUUCUCCCCAAAUCCCCCUUGUACAUAGUUGUGUAUUCUAGUUGUGAGUGACUCUGGUUGUGCUAUGUGACGCCGCCUCAGCAUGGCCUGAUGAGCGGUGCCUUGUCUGUGCCCAGGAUCCGAACCAGCGAAACACUGGGCCACAGAAGUGGAGCGCGCGAAGUUAAUCACUCGGCCACGGGGCCGGCCUCCAGGAUUUGCCCCCAUCUCAAGGUCCUGAUUUGUAGCCUCAUUUGCUGUCUGGUUCGAGUGAAAUAUUUGUUCUUAGAUGGGCACUUGGUAAUAUACUCUCAAAGAUUUUGAAUAUCUUUGAAUUUUUUUUAAAUUCUGUCAGGUGAAUAACUCUUGAUUGACUAUAGGAUUCUGAAGUGACAGUCCUUUUAGCUUAGUAGUCUGCUGAUGAUAUUCCACUGACUUCUAGCUCUCAUAGUUAUGAACACACAUUCCAAAGGCAGUAUGCUAUUUUUACAGGGAUUAUUUGUUCUAUCAAGACUCUUAUAAAAAAAUUUAUGUAUAUAUAUGUAAAUAUUGAAUGUACAUAUUUUAUAAAUACAUGUAAAUAUUAAUUUUUGCAUUUAUAUAUGUGUAGAUUUCUUUUUCCAAGGGUCUGAUAGAGAGAACAAAUUACUCCCCUACAAAAUAACAAACUGCCUUUGGAAUGUUUGUUCAUAACUAUGAAAGCUUUAUAGAGAUAGAUAUAAAGAUAGAUAUAUUGGUGUAUAGAUAUAUUGGUAUAUAGGUAUUUUUCUAUAUAAAUAUUUACCAAAACUUAUCAUUAAUUCAUCAGAGACCAACCUUUAUUUCAAUUUAUAUACAGCUAUGUGUCGCUUAACGAAGCAAAUACAUUUUAAGAAAUGCAUCAUUAUGUGAUUUUGUUGUGGUGCAAAUAUCAUCGAGUGUACUGAAGGGGAAUAAAAUUUGCCACCCCAGAAUGUGUCUUAACAUGAGGAUUAUUUUAGGCUGAUUAUUUUUAAGAAAAAAAAUACUCAGAAGGUUUUCUUGUUACCUCCCCCUUACCUGCCUAAAAGAAUUCAGAUUAAAAAACCUGUCUCAGGGAGCUGGCCUGGUGGUGCAGUGGUUAAGCUCUCACAUUCCACUUCAGCAGCCAGGGUUCACCAGUUCGGAUACUGGGUGCAGACCUAUGCACCACUUGUCAAUCCGUGCUGUGGCCGGCGUCCCACAUAUAAAGUAGAGGAAGAUGGGCACCAAGGUUAGCUCAGGGCCUGUUUUCCUCAGCAAAUAGAGGAGGAUUGGCAACAGAUGUUAGCUCAAGGCUAAUCUUCCUCAAAGAAAUGAGAAAAAACCCAAACCUGUCUCAGAAAGUAAGCUAUUACCUUAACAUAACAUGAACUAGGUGGUAGAAAGCGAGACACCUAGAAAAAGGUGGUAGAAAGCGGCUCCUCUCUGUUUUCUUCUGUGAAACUUGUUUUCCAAAUGUUUGCUUCUUUUCACCUACUUGUGAAUUGCCUUUGUUUCCUUUGAGGCCCCUGACUCUCCCACCCCCAACCUCUUCUUUUGUUUUAGGUUGAAAAUGGUAUUUAAGGUGAAGGCUUCAGUCAUUUUGGUGAGUUAGUUUUUCUGGGUUUCUUCCAUGUGUACAUGUUAUUAAACUUUUGCUUGUUUUUCUCCUAUUAAUCUGUCUCAUGUCAAUUUAAUUCUUAGAUCAGCCAGAAGAACCUAGAAGGAUAGAGGACAAUUUCUUCCUCCUCUACAGUACUUACACAAACCUAGAUGACGUAGCCUACUACACACCUAGGCUGUAUGGUACUAAUCUUGUGGGACCACCGUCGUAUACGUGGUCUGUCGUUGACGGAAGUGUUGUUAUGUGGUACCUGACUGUACUAAAAUUUUUAAUUCAGAAGUCAUAGUUUUCAGUUUUAAGAAGUCUUUCAGUGCUUUUUCUCUCAAAUGCUCUUUUUCUGUUUAUUUAUACUUCUAUUCUUGCUCUAGCUCUUCCAGAAGUUCAAUUUCAUAAAGUGUGACUUAAGAUUCUUCAAUCUACUCCUCUCAACCAAGCUAUUUUGGAUCCUCAUAAAAGAAAACUAAAAGAGUUUGUCACUCACUGACCUGCACUACAAGAAAUGCCAAAAGAUGUUCCUCACGAUGAUGGGAAAUUAUACCAGUUACAUAAAAAAGGGUGAAGAGCAUCAGAAGUGACAAGAGAAUCUUGGAAUCACGUACUGGAGGUACCACAUUUACUCAGUGAUUACUUUGCCAUGUGAUAGCCAAUCUUCCCAGAUAUUUCAACUUCCUUCAGCAAACAAAAAUCGGAUGAUGGGAAUUGUUGUGCCGAAGUAAAAGCCCAGAAGGAUGUCCAUUGCAGAGAAAUCUACAACAGCAAAAACAGGAAAAUAACCAAACUCUCUAACAAUACGGAAUGCUUGCUUGAGUAAAUUAUGGCAUCUAAUCUCAGUGAAUUACUAUGAACUCAGUAAAAUGUUUAAAUGACUCAAAAUUGUGGGGUGCUUCUCAGAUCAGCCAGUAUUGUGUUGGGAGUUGGCAGAGAGACCAUCUGAGAUCUACAUUUAUUUGAAAGGAAUAUUAAAUUGAGCACUUUGGAUUCACGAAUUCCUCUCCAACUCUGGAAACCAUGCCAGAGCAGAUGUCCUUGGGGCAAAGCCCGGCUAGGGAUCAUGUGCCAUCUUGCUAUUUUCUUUGCUUACAGCUCUUUCCAUUGAAUAUAUUUUUCCUUUUGCAAACAAUCUCCAAUUUAUUGUAUAUGACCAGGAAAAUUGGGAUUUAUGUUCAACUUCUCAGGAACAGCUCUAUUUUGUAAAUGAGGGAGCACUACACCGCAAGCUGUAUUGCCUGGAUUUGUUCACAUUUUGUUAGGUGCUGCUGCUGCUGAAGCCCAGAUGGGAGUCUUCUGGGCAAGAUUUUUUUCUUUGUGAUCCUAUCAGUGACUGUCAUCUUAGCCAUCCUUUGGAAAUACCACACGGCUCAUAAACAUGGACAAGGGAGGUGCUUCAACGGACCCCGUUUGUCUACUUUGGGAUUAGAGUAACUCCUCUGCACAAGACGAGUUUGUCUUCUGAUAGGCAAAAUGUUUUGCUGGGUGUUUUAUCACAGUGUUUUGACCCACUACCCUAGCAUUUGGCUCCCGGCAUAGCCUCGGGCUCCGCUAAGGUACCUGGUGAAAGGAAAACCUUAAUGUCCUCCCAUGCAAGCUCUGUGCGGCUGUGAGAUGGUUUGUUCAGAACCCCAAUAUAAAUCAAUGUUAUCCUGCUAGAGUUACUGUGACAACAAAAAGCAAACAAGCUAUCAUUACUCCACUGUGGAAUAUUCCUUUUGUGUGUGUGUGUAAAUUAUAAAUAUUACUUUUUCUCCCCACCUUCAGUUUUUAAAACGUGGUUUCACAUUUCAUUUAAUGCUAAAUGGUUCAUUACAUAGAGUAGCAACUCAGUUCUCUUAUUACGGUGUUAUCUUUCACUUUGUCAAAAUAUGUCUACUUGAUAAGAAAUCUGACAGAAGUUGCUUAUGAUGGGAUCACUAACAGCCAUCAGUUUCUCUCUAGCAAAUGAAACUGUAACCAUGGUGACGGCCUUUUUUUGCCAGAAUGAAAAUGAGACAGCACUCUGCUGCAGCCAUUAGCAGAAUACACAAAUGUCCCUCAAGGCAAACAUCUAAAGCAAAUGGACUGCAGAGGAAGGAGCACUAAUUUCUAUUUAUUUAGGAUUUGUAAACCUAGCAGAGAAAGAUAUUAACAAAGGAACAAACAAAGAAAGCU
rnacentral:lncRNA from 1 species